rnacentral:lncRNA from 1 species
CAGCAAGAUGGGGCUUUAUAGCCAUCAGAGCCACUAAAACACUCUGCUUGGACUUUUCUGCCUAGGAUGUGAGCAAAUAAAAACUUCUGCACACACGUGUGGGCGUUACACCAACAUCGCCAUUCCGGGGAACAAGCUGAGAAGGAUCGGUGAAGGUGAGUAUAGGCAGGAAACCUCAUCAGGUCACUGGAGGAGAGAGAUGCUUUCACCCCAUGGUAUGUGUGAAAGAGCUGGAACCCUAAGCCUCCCUGGGCAGCAGAGUACCCACGGCAGGCUUCGUGCAUACUGUCCACCCACCGCUGACGGCAGGAACUGCAAGGUCUGCUCGGGCGGACGGGGAUAUCCACAACAGCAUGGUACUGACAUCUGCACAAGUCUUCCUGUCUGUGCAGAGGCUCACAAAGACGGUGACACGGAUAGUAUUCAUGGCUACAAAUGUCUGCAAAUGAAGCACCUGGUCCCAGCAGUGCAGUACCAGAGCCUCAUGGACAGAAUGCAUGUACCCCUCUCUCCACUUUGGACCCUUCAGUUGGGUGACACUGCUCACACCCACUUCCCUGUAUGCUCCCCGCCCUGCUGCGAUCACCCUGGAGCCCAGCAGCCCUGUGGUUUCACGGCCACGGCACCCUCCCCAGGACAGAGUACCUGUCCUUGUCCCGACAGAAGGCACGACAGCAGACGCGUGUCACUCUCCGUGCACUGCUCCCCAGGACGGCAGAGCAGUCACCGAGCUCCACCAAGGAUGUCUCCCUGGCAGUGUUGGGAAAGAAGCCGGCAGCAGGCAGAGGCACAGCAUGGAGCCACCCUUCCAGAGUGCCAUCCUUCCACCACUGCCUGGGGAAGGCGCGCCAAGAACAAGGGCAGAUAG